GAUGAACGCUGGCGGCGUGCCUAAUACAUGCAAGUCGAGCGAACAGACGAGGAGCUUGCUCCUCUGACGUUAGCGGCGGACGGGUGAGUAACACGUGGAUAACCUACCUAUAAGACUGGGAUAACUUCGGGAAACCGGAGCUAAUACCGGAUAAUAUAUUGAACCGCAUGGUUCAAUAGUGAAAGACGGUUUUGCUGUCACUUAUAUAUGGAUCCGCGCCGCAUUAGCUAGUUGGUAAGGUAACGGCUUACCAAGGCGACGAUGCGUAGCCGACCUGAGAGGGUGAUCGGCCACACUGGAACUGAGACACGGUCCAGACUCCUACGGGAGGCAGCAGUAGGGAAUCUUCCGCAAUGGGCGAAAGCUUGACGGAGCAACGCCGCGUGAGUGAUGAAGGUCUUCGGAUCGUAAAACUCUGUUAUUAGGGAAGAACAAAUGUGUAAGUAACUAUGCACGUCUUGACGGUACCUAAUCAGAAAGCCACGGCUAGCUACGUG
rnacentral:rRNA from 1 species